rnacentral:rRNA from 1 species
GACGAACGCUGGCGGCGUGCUUAACACAUGCAAGUCGAACGGAAAGGCCCUGCUUUUGUGGGGUGCUCGAGUGGCGAACGGGUGAGUAACACGUGAGUAACCUGCCCUUGACUUUGGGAUAACUUCAGGAAACUGGGGCUAAUACCGGAUAGGAGCUCCUGCUGCAUGGUGGGGGUUGGAAAGUUUCGGCGGUUGGGGAUGGACUCGCGGCUUAUCAGCUUGUUGGUGGGGUAGUGGCUUACCAAGGCUUUGACGGGUAGCCGGCCUGAGAGGGUGACCGGCCACAUUGGGACUGAGAUACGGCCCAGACUCCUACGGGAGGCAGCAGUGGGGAAUAUUGCACAAUGGGCGGAAGCCUGAUGCAGCAACGCCGCGUGCGGGAUGAAGGCCUUCGGGUUGUAAACCGCUUACGCCUGUGACGAAGCGUGAGUGACGGUAAUGGGUAAAGAAGCACCGGCUAACUACGUG